rnacentral:lncRNA from 1 species
AAACUAGAUACUACGAAGAGAUGGUCCAAGAAAGUCGACCGAUUGAAGAAAUAUACGAAAACAAUCCUCUUAGUGUGCAUGAUGAUCAAUGGAAGUGACUAGUGGAGCAAUGGGGAACACCACAAGCUAAGUUAUGCACUUUUAUUAGACUAAAUGUCCCAUUUUUCCUACUUCCACUUACGGUAUGAUCAAAGUAGGGGUGCAUAAAUGCGUGAUUUGUUGAAUGAUGCAUAAUAAACUUAGCUUUUCUAUUACUCUCAUAUUUUUUUCAUUAAUUUAAACAAUAGACACAAUCAGAAAAGGCGAAAAAAUCUCAAACAAAGGUGCGUUAUGCACACACUGCUGGUAGUACAAGAUAUGCG